AUUGAACUCUGGCGGCAGGCCUAACACAUGCAAGUCGAGCGAGCGGCGGACGGGUGAGUAAUGUCUGGGAAACUGCCUGAUGGAGGGGGAUAACUACUGGAAACGGUAGCUAAUACCGCAUACCAUCAGAUGUGCCCAGAUGGGAUUAGCUAGUAGGUUGGGUAACGGCUCACCGAGGCGACGAUCCCUAGCGGGUCUGAGAGGAUGACCAGCCACGCUGGAACUGCGACACUUCCCAGACUCCUACGCGAGCCAGCAGGGGGGAACAUUCCACAAUGGGCGCAAGCCUGAUGCCGCCAUUCCGCUGUUGUGAAGAAGUCCUUCGGGUUGUAAUGCACUAUCAGCGGGGCGGCGUUACCCGCAGAAGACGCACCGGCUAACUCCGUGCCAGCAGCCGCGUUAAUUC
rnacentral:rRNA from 1 species